rnacentral:rRNA from 1 species
GGGCUUUCCCUUCGGGGACAGAGUGACAGGUGGUGCAUGGUUGUCGUCAGCUCGUGUCGUGAGAUGUUGGGUUAAGUCCCGCAACGAGCGCAACCCUUGAUCUUAGUUGCCAGCAUUUAGUUGGGCACUCUAAGGUGACUGCCGGUGACAAACCGGAGGAAGGUGGGGAUGACGUCAAAUCAUCAUGCCCCUUAUGACCUGGGCUACACACGUGCUACAAUGGACAGAACAAAGGGCUGCAAGACCGCAAGGUUUAGCCAAUCCCAUAAAUCUGUUCUCAGUUCGGAUCGCAGUCUGCAACUCGACUGCGUGAAGCUGGAAUCGCUAGUAAUCGCGGAUCAGCAUGCCGCGGUGAAUACGUUCCCGGGUCUUGUACACACCGA